rnacentral:rRNA from 1 species
AUGAUCCGUCUGCAGACGUACGCGGCGUUCAGCCUGCUGGCGACGACGUCAGCGGUGUACUACGCGUUCAGCAGCAGGGAGCAGUUCUACCCUGCGAUGGUCUACCUCUCCUCGUCCAAGAUCUGCUUUGUGCUGCUCCUCAACACGGGCCUCGUCGCCAUGUGCACCACCUGGCAGCUCGUCAAGCGCAUCUUCCUGGGCACGCUCCGUGAGGCCGAGGUUGAGCAGCUCAACGAGCAGUCCUGGAGGGAGGUCGUGGAGAUCCUCUUUGCGGUCACCAUCUUCCGCCAGGACUUCUCCGUCGCCUUCCUCGCCAUGGUCGCCGCACUGCUACUCGUCAAGGCGCUGCAUUGGCUCGCACAGAAGAGGGUCGACUACAUUGAGACCACGCCCUCUGUGCCGAUGCUGUCGCACAUAAGGAUUGUGUCCUUCAUGGUGUUCCUGCUUGCCGUCGACUGCAUCUUCCUGUCGAGAUCCUUGAUGCCACUGAUAAAGAACCGGGAGGCGUCUGUUGCAAUCUUCUUUUCCUUUGAGUAUAUGAUACUAGCAACAUCAACGGUAUCGAUAUUCGUGAAGUAUGUAUUCUAUGUCAGCGACAUGCUAAUGGAAGGUCAAUGGGAGAAAAAGGCAGUGUAUACAUUUUAUUUGGAGCUCAUCAGUGACCUUGUGCACUUGUUUUUGUAUAUGCUCUUCUUCGUAGCUAUCUUCCUGAACUAUGGUGUCCCAUUGCACUUGAUCCGUGAGCUGUACGAGACCUUCCGCUGCUUCAGAAUUCGUGUUUCAGAUUAUGUGCGCUACAGAAAGAUAACUUCCAACAUGAAUGAACGCUUUCCAGAUGCUACAGCUGAUGAGCUUAAUGCGAGUGAUGCUACAUGUAUUAUCUGUCGUGAAGAGAUGACAACAGCAAAGAAGCUGCUUUGUGGGCACUUGUUCCAUGUGCAUUGUUUGAGGUCAUGGCUAGAGCGCCAACAUACUUGCCCCACAUGUAGAGCUCCCAUUGUCCCCCCGGACAAUGGACGUACUGCAUCAGCGCAACAGCAUGGAGCUCAACCGGGUGUUCAGCUUGCUGCAGGCAUCGGCGCUCCAGGUUCAGAAGGAGCAACAAGUGAGAACAUGAACAGGCGUCAAGCAAAACUUGAGGCUGCUGCUUCAGCUGCUUCCAUAUAUGGGAGAUCUUUUGCUUAUCCUCCAACAAACACCUUGAAUAGGUAUUCAGGACCUCUGCGUGCUACAUCAGGUACUUCACAAUCAGGAGAAGCAAGUACUUCCAAUCAAUCGCAGAACAACCAAUCAUUGCAAUGGCCGAACAAUCAGGAUCUCUCGGCACCUCAGCCUUUUAUUUCACAUGGUCCUGCCAGCUCAGCAACAAUCAACAGGGACCUUGAAAAUUCACUACAAAAGACUUACGAAAACGCUAUAAGGAGCCAGAUAGAGAUGUUGCAAAUCCAAUUGCAAAUGGUGCAGCAAGGGGCAACAGCGUUGGCAACUAACAAUGAGAAAGCUGAACAAGCGAAAAAUGAGUGA